GACGAACGCUGGCGGCGUGCCUAAUACAUGCAAGUCGAACGCUGAAGGAGGAGCUUGCUUCUCUGGAUGAGUUGCGAACGGGUGAGUAACGCGUAGGUAACCUGCCUGGUAGCGGGGGAUAACUAUUGGAAACGAUAGCUAAUACCGCAUAACAGUAGAUAUCGCAUGAUAUCUACUUGAAAGGUGCAAUUGCAUCACUACCAGAUGGACCUGCGUUGUAUUAGCUAGUUGGUGAGGUAACGGCUCACCAAGGCGACGAUACAUAGCCGACCUGAGAGGGUGAUCGGCCACACUGGGACUGAGACACGGCCCAGACUCCUACGGGAGGCAGCAGUAGGGAAUCUUCGGCAAUGGACGGAAGUCUGACCGAGCAACGCCGCGUGAGUGAAGAAGGUUUUCGGAUCGUAAAGCUCUGUUGUAAGAGAAGAACGAGUGUGAGAGUGGAAAGUUCACACUGUGACGGUAUCUGACCAGAAAGGGACGGCUAACUACGUG
rnacentral:rRNA from 1 species